CUUGACCGAGCCGAGCAGCAGCGGCUCGUCCCGGUCCUGGCCGUAGGUGGCGAGCAGCGCCUGUGCCUC
rnacentral:antisense_RNA from 1 species